AACAAUCUUGAUGCAUUUUUGGACUCACCAGUUUUGAAAAUGUUGAGUCCAGACAGAUUUUCAGGACUCAAUGACUCACCUUAGUGAGAACUUGGCAGUUAGGAAGAAUAGAUAUAAAUUUGAAAUGAAUUAAUUUACCUUUUAUUAUUUCUCAUUAACAUUGUGUAUGUUUUGUAAUAAGUCGUUAAUGCUUUUUUGUUAGACCAGAGUAUUUAGUGCUCAUAUUUUAAUAAAUUCAAAUAGAAAAC
rnacentral:lncRNA from 1 species